AAUUUAGGAAGUUUGCCUAAGUACGUCGCAUCCGUGCGACAAUUUAUCUGCCCGAAAGCGGAGCGGCAGGAGCAACGGCUAACUGACCUGCAUCACGCAGG
rnacentral:sRNA from 1 species